GACGAACGCUGGCGGCGUGCUUAACACAUGCAAGUCGAACGGAAAGGCCCUGCUUUUGUGGGGUGCUCGAGUGGCGAACGGGUGAGUAACACGUGAGUAACCUGCCCUUGACUUUGGGAUAACUUCAGGAAACUGGGGCUAAUGCCGGAUAGGAGCUCCUGCUGCAUGGUGGGGGUUGGAAAGUUUCGGCGGUUGGGGAUGGACUCGCGGCUUAUCAGCUUGUUGGUGGGGUAGUGGCUUACCAAGGCUUUGACGGGUAGGCGGCCUGAGAGGGUGACCGGCCACAUUGGGACUGAGAGACGGCCCAGACUCCUACGGGAGGCAGCAGUGGGGAAUAUUGCACAAUGGGCGGAAGCCUGAGGCAGCAACGCCGCGUGCGGGAUGACGGCCUUCGGGUUGUAAACCGCUUUCGCCUGUGACGAAGCGUGAGUGACGGUAAUGGGUAAAGAAGCACCGGCUAACUACGUG
rnacentral:rRNA from 1 species